UACGAAGGGUGCAAGCGUUACUCGGAAUUACUGGGCGUAAAGCGUGCGUAGGUGGUGAGUUAAGUCUGUCGUGAAAGCCCCGGGCUCAACCUGGGAAUGGCGAUGGAUACUGGCUCGCUAGAGUGCGGUAGAGGAGAGUGGAAUUCCCGGUGUAGCAGUGAAAUGCGUAGAGAUCGGGAGGAACAUCAGUUGCGAAGGCGGCUCUCUGGACCAGCACUGACAUUGAGGCACGAAAGCGUGGGGAGCAAACAGG
rnacentral:rRNA from 1 species